rnacentral:rRNA from 1 species
UACGGAGGGUGCAAACGUUGCUCGGAAUCAUUGGGCGUAAAGCGCACGUAGGCGGUCCGUUAAGUCGGGAGUGAAAGCCCUAGGCUCAACCUAGGAAGUGCUUUCGAAACUGGCGGACUUGAAUACUGGAGAGGAUCGCGGAAUUCCCGGUGUAGAGGUGAAAUUCGUAGAUAUCGGGAGGAACACCAGUGGCGAAGGCGGCGAUCUGGACAGAUAUUGACGCUGAGGUGCGAAAGCGUGGGGAGCAAACAGG